GGGUAUUCUUGACGAUUCAUCUCCUGGUUAGCUCUCUCCACCAGUUUUGGUGCAGGAGCUAUUGUAGCUUUGAGGGAUGGGUUAUAGAAUGAAGCAAUUGACCUUCUGUUCCCGUUAGGAGUGACCAGAACCCUGUGCCAGGUACUUUUGUACCUGCCAUUGCUUAGGACCUCAAUCUGAUCACCGGUGUUUAUGAUAAUAGUGUUUUUCAGUGGCUGGACAUCAAUCCAUUUUCCAUCCUUGAGGAUUUGAAGACCUCCCACCUCAUCAUCUUGGAAGAGUAAGAUGACACCUCCGGCAUCUGUG
rnacentral:misc_RNA from 1 species